rnacentral:rRNA from 1 species
UACAGAGGGUGCGAGCGUUAAUCGGAAUUACUGGGCGUAAAGCGUGCGUAGACGGUUAUUUAAGUCGGGUGUGAAAGCCCCGGGCUCAACCUGGGAAUUGCAUUCGAGACUGAAUAGCUAGGGUACGGUAGAGGGAAGUGGAAUUUCCGGUGUAGCGGUGAAAUGCGCAGAUAUCAGGAGGAACACCGGUGGCGAAGGCGGGUCUCUGGGCCGUAACUGACGCUGAGGAGCGAAAGCAUGGGGAGCGAACAGG